GGACGAACGCUGGCGGCGUGCUUAACACAUGCAAGUCGAGCGGUAAGGCCCUUUCGGGGGUACACGAGCGGCGAACGGGUGAGUAACACGUGGGUGACCUGCCCUCAGCUCUGGGAUAAGCCUGGGAAACUGGGUCUAAUACUGGAUAUGACUCCACGGUGUAUGUCGUGGGGUGGAAAGCCUUGUGCGGCUGAGGAUGGGCCCGCGGCCUAUCAGCUUGUUGGUGGGGUGAUGGCCUACCAAGGCGACGACGGGUAGCCGGCCUGAGAGGGCGACCGGCCACACUGGGACUGAGACACGGCCCAGACUCCUACGGGAGGCAGCAGUGGGGAAUCUUGCGCAAUGGGCGAAAGCCUGACGCAGCGACGCCGCGUGA
rnacentral:rRNA from 1 species